ensembl:lincRNA
CUCUGAGCUGAGGGCCUGCUUCCUUCCCAGUUGCACGAGCCUCUUCCUUGCUACCCCGUAAGGUCAGAUGAAAAGAAGUCGCCCCUGGUCUAGCUGGGGAGGAGGCAGGCGCUGUCUUGGGGAUCCUACAGCGUUGCGUUUCUCUCCUGCUUCCUUGGAACAGACUGGAAGCUGCCGAUCUCCCUGGGACCUGUUUACUCACCGUUACUCUCCUCCAGCCUGAGCACCCCCAAAGCUGUGGGACAAAGCUGGGAAUUGUCUCCUCCAGUGGCAGAGAGCUUCUGUGGACACGACGCCCAGGGAGCCCAUCUGCCCCAGCCGGUCUCUUUCCAGCACUUCACGGACGCGAGGGUGGAGAAGAGACUGGCUGCCCGGAAGGAGCGCCGCAGUCGUUUUGGAAAUGUCAGCGUGCACAAGUGCUACCAGUUCGGGCAGGUCUUCUCCCCUUUCCAAGCCCUCGCCACCACGGAAAUGAGAAAGCUGGUGUUUCCCCGAGACCUGCCCAUGAGACCCUCUGUGCAGAGAAUGAGUUCUUCGUUCUCCACUGAUGUAAGCCUCCAGGAUUUUCUGCUGCCUUCCGCAGAGCUGGGCUUGGGAAAGGAUGAAGACAGCCACGAGAAAGAGAGACCAGCAAGCCACAUGAAAACACCUUUAUUCCCCCCAAUAGUUAAAGCGACAAAAUCUAACGACAUGAAAUAAAAAUUACGAAACUGCAUUCUGACCACUUGCUGCAACGUUUUGUGUUAAGAACAAUUAGGGACCCAAGAGUGCUGAGACAUUUUAACACCUGACAAUGUUUAGAUAACUUGAAGAAUAUCAACAUCAUGUCUCCGUGUGAGCAUUUUGGAAAGGGUGAAACAAUUAGAAACUUCAGUAUGCAGCCAGACUGAAUUCUCAAGAAGAACAUUUUUCUCAAAAGUCUGAAGAUGGGGUGAGGAGAUAGUUACAGUCCAGUGAAUCAAGGACCCCACUUUUUCCAUCUUUCUGCUCUACCAUUCCCAGAGUGCUGGACGGUAACCUUAGGUUUAGUGCCUCACGGUCACCAGAUGGCUGCCAUUGCACCAAACAUCACAUCCUCGCAGAGUACAUCAAACCCUAGAAGGGUGUCAUGUUACACACACACACACACACACACACACACAGAAGGAGAACCUCUCCCAGGAGCCACUCAGCAGAUUUCUUAGCAAUUCUCCUUAGCCAGAAUGAGGUAUCUUAGCUAUGCCCUAACUACAAAGGAAGCCGAGAAAGCACGAAUUUGGCAUAUAUUAGAAGACAAGUUAUACCAGCAGGAAAAGAAAGUAGGAAAAUGGCUAACGGGGAAGCAGUUAAUGUCUGCCACAGGGAGGACACUCAGGUUUGACCUGACACUCAAUUUGCAGGUCAGAUGAUGACAGUGAGACAUUUUUAUUUAUGCAGAGUGAAAAUCUGCCUUAUAAGUUCUAAGCAUCAGUCCUAAGGCUGUUUCUUUAAGAAGAUGGCUCCAUCCUAAAUAGAUUUCAUUUUCCUUUGACAUUUCAGAGUAACAUGGGCUUAUAAUACAAAUUACUCAAGGACAUAAACAAGGAAAUAAUCACCCAGAAUCUCGCCAUUUAGAUAUAACUUGUGUUUGUAUCUGGAAAUUUUUAGAUCACUUUUCAAUCUCUUGCCCUUAUCGAAGUGCUGAGAUUGUCUUUGGGCUGAGAUCUCUCUUCCAUGGUUUUCACGGGGUAGUGUCUUGGCAUCAUUGCCCAGCAUCUCUCAGAGGGUCACCUGGUCCACUUCUGGGUCCUGCGGUCCCCACUUCUAUGUCCCCACCCACGUGGCUAUGGUUACAGAGGCCAUGGCAUCGUCUGCAUUACAAGACUGCACCCAAGUGAGUACAUACACCUAACCUUUUUCACAGAUUCAUGGAGGGCAUAAUCUUCUUCCUUUUUAACACUAUAAUGGUUAUUUAUGACCUACAUCAUGCGUAAGAUGCCAC